GAAUAUAUGUAUAGAAAGAAGGACAUCCUUUAACUGAACAAAAAAAAAGUCACAUAAAGAAACCUUGACUUCAAUUCUGUUAUGCGUUGCAAGUGAAGUUGUCUUCCUCUUUUGCUUUUAAUUGGCAAAACAGCAUGCUUACUGAAGAGUUCUAUGGCCUAUGGGCGCAUUUUUCUAAAAAAAUCAUAUCUGAUUUCUGAACUUAUCUGAAGCAUUGUCUCUUUUUGUCUCUUCAGGCUCAAGCGUAGACGCCUCACGUUUUCUAAUUAAAACGAGUACUACUAAAGAUAAGCCUACAUCAUCAGUGGCUUUCAGAUGACUUCAGUGAUUUGGAGGCCUCUUUUGGUUGUCUGUACGUGAAGCUCACUUCAGAGUGAGACAACUGGAAACUAUGUGUUCCCCUCGCGAGCCCUACAACGAAGUCGACCGCAUCAGAGAGGGGGAAAAAUAAUGGAAAUUCUGAUGCUGAUUGUGCCUUAGUGGAUUGGUGACUCGUAUACUCUGGCAGCCUGAUCCGGAAAUGGAGCCACAGCAUUGAAGCGACAACCCGUCAACUUUUUUCGUUUCAUCGACUCUGAAUUUCUUAAACGUCCGUUCGUCUAAAAGUCUCUAACCCCAGGUAGGCAAGGCAGGUGAUCACGGCUAUCAAAUCGGCGUUGUUAUACGUAGCUUUCGUCCCUGUUCGCUCGUUUUUUUUGCCUCUACUGCAGUUCAGCAGUGGCCUUGGUCUCAUCAUCUUUGUGCAAGUUGGCAUGUAUCGGACCAGGAAUUUUCAGUUCAGCAGUGUUCCCACAGAAUACGUCUUGGUGCGUUCUUCUUCCAAGGAACUAAUUCUUAUCACGUCGUAGGCUUUUGCCAUUUCGGCAUAUCGUCAGCUGUCUCGACCAAUCAAUCGAUCUGACCCAUUUGUGCUGCAAAAUUCCUGCUGUGGACUCUAUAUGACUCAUUGAGUCCAUAUUGAAUACGAUCAUAUUGUUUCCUUCGUCA